AGCCGGCCUCACGCCGCCGUCCGCAACAGCAGCCGCGGGCGGGGUGCAGCCACCUCCGUGAGCGCCGCAGCCCGCCCCACUCGGGGCGGGGCCCGCGGGCACCGGAGAGCGGACGGCCGAGCACGAGGGGGCUGCGCGCAGCUCCGGGCAGGGACCCCGUCUGCACCGGGUGGCCUGCAAGAUUGCCGGGGUAGGCAGGGGGAGGAGAACGCUCACCCGUUCCGGUCUGGCGCUCCCUUUUCUCCACACCCACACGCCUCCCGCUCCACGCUGGCGGCGCAGCUGCUCCCGCUGCCACAGCCGCCACCGCCGCCGAAGCUCGCGCCGCCGCCGCUGCCGCCUUGGCUGAGCGCGGUCACGUGACGCGAUCCGCGGGGAGCCUGGGGGCGGGCGAGUGCGCGCGCGCGCGCGCGGAGGAACCGCGGCUCGGACCGGGACUGGGAGCUGAGCGGCACUGGGAGGGCGUUUAAGGGGAGGACCCGGCGAGCGCGCCCUCGGCUGGCGAGCGCGCGCCUGGCGAUUAGAACUUGCCGCGCGGUCGGGAAAGGGUGGCCGGAGUGAGGGGCGGAGGUGGGGACUUGCGCCUCCGCACGCCCCUCCCUUUCUUCCUUCCCCUGAGCGCCUUGGCUUGCCGCUGCCCCCGCCCCCUCCAGCGCGCCCCUUCCCUCCUGCCGCAGCCUGCGAUUGGCUGAGAGGCUCUGACGUCCGUGUUUCCAUGACGUGUUGGUGCAGGAGGGAGCGCGCGGGGAGGUGACUCCGUCAGUCACAGCUGCUGUUUCGGCGCGGGGCCGGGCCGCUGCCGCGACGUGUGGAGGCAGGAGAGCGAUGAUUGCCGCAGGAGAAGUGCGGGCGCCCUUCACCUGGGGCCCCUCCCGAACCGCCCCCGGGCCCAUGCCCCUCCAGGGCCCAGGAGCGAGCCAGCGGGAGGGCGAGGGCGAGCGCUCCUGGCGAGGACAGAUUAAGGCGAACCCCCAGUCAGCGGACAUUUGAGCGGCUCCUCGCCGCGUCUCUGCCCCCACUCCAAACCGGACUCGACGCCUGUCCCGGGCCGUGACGCACGCACCGGAGGAAAAAGUGCUUCUCGGCUCGCUCCCUCUUUGGGGAAGAGAGCUCACUCCCCAUGCGGGCGCGGGACACUCCAUCUCUGUUCCUGCCGGUCGGGUCCGCAAACACCGGGGAUCCCAGCUGCGGCGCCCAAAGGGUUAACGCAGGCGUUCGGCCAGUGCAAACCGGCCUCGCAGGAUCCGCGCUUAAAAUCCGGGUGUUUUCAUUUUGGGUUUGUUUCUUCUACUAUGCCAAGCUGGUGGCUCUCUUUUAAUUCUCUUGUAACAUCUCAACCCUGCACCCAUCUUUCCUGAGGGGAAAAGGAAACGGGAUAACUUGCGGUAUUUCGAUGCUCAAAGGUAACCGGCGGCUCUGCUCCAACCUUCAAGAGAUUUUGCAAGUUGAAAAAAAAAAAAAAACCAUCCUUCGUAACAUCUACUUAAAAAAAAAAAAGCAAGUUUUCCUUCUUGUACACGCAUAUACACAGUAAAGAUGUGUAUCUUACCUAAGAUACCGCGCUUCAUCUUCAUCUAAUCUUUAUUUGAACUCACCGUCGCCACUGGCCCAGAGACCUUGUCAGUGUUAUUUUCAGUAUCAGUUAAUCAGAACAAAAAGAUAAGUUCUGCAAUCUUCUUUCUCUUAAUUCCAGAACUGGAAAAUUAAUAUUUAUAUAGCCUCCUCAAAAGCAUACAGGCAAUAGGAAGUAUGGUAUUAUGUUCACGAUCUGAUGAUAGCAUUUGUUUUAAAAUAUUUUAAAAGAUUAGACACAAAAUGUGUAAAAGACGUUUAAAAGUGAAUAAAUAUAAAUCAAUGCUGUUGCAAAUAAUUUUUUUAUCAGUUUAUGUAUCUCACUAGGCUUGACAUUACCAGCCUUCUGAGCUGUGCCCUUGAUGUGUAAGAUAAACGAACAUUGAACAGAAUGAUAGCAUUUUUCCUCUCUUCAGUCACUGAUGGAGAAUUGGUUAAUGUGGUACAAUAAAUAGCCCUUCCUGACACUAUUUCAAAUCUUUUUAACAGAAGAAUAACCUAAAUUUCACCUAAUAAAUUUCAAUAUUAUUUCCCCCUAAAAUAUCUUUCAAAACGACUCAGAGACAUUUAAGAAUCACUGGCUUUUUUCCAACUUUUCCUCCAAGGAAGUUACAAUACAAUGUUGAAUUAUGUAUUCUACUUUAAUCAAGAAUUUGACAUUAAAGUAAUAUGUGAAUCAUUGCUAUAGUACACUAGCAAAAUGGGUAAUAAACUAGAAUCUGUUCACUUUGUGGGUUUGUUCCAGUUCCAGAUUAUAAAAUGAAUGCUCUUAAAGUGUUGUGGUCAUGAAACAAUUAUUGAGCAUCUUUAUUUAAGAACACGAUUCAAUUAAGUUUUCAUUUAUAUCGAUAAAUCUAUAAAUGAAACAUACGGAAUAUAUAUAUUCAUGUAU
rnacentral:lncRNA from 10 species